CAGAACCUUCCUUUAAGCGGGGAUAGCCCAUAGAAAUGUGGAUUAAUACCCCAUAGUAAUAUUGACUGGCAUCAGUUGGUAUUUAAAGAUUUAUCACUUAAAGAUGGCUGUGCGGCUGAUUAGGUAGUUGGUGCGGGUAACGGCCCACCAAGCCAUCGAUCAGUAACUGGUGUGAGAGCACGACCAGUCACACGGGCACUGAGACACGGGCCCG
rnacentral:rRNA from 1 species